AUCCAGCUGACGAGUCCCGAAUAGGACUUGACGACUGUCCUGGAU
rnacentral:hammerhead_ribozyme from 1 species